CCUUCUUUGAUGAUCAUCAAUCAUGACUUUCGUUCUUCUGAGUCUCCUGAAGCAACUUAUUGAUCUGAGAAGG